GUGCCAGCAGCCGCGGUAAUACGUAGGGUGCAAGCGUUGUCCGGAAUUAUUGGGCGUAAAGAGCUCGUAGGCGGUUUGUCGCGUCUGCUGUGAAAACCCGAGGCUCAACCUCGGGCCUGCAGUGGGUACGGGCAGACUAGAGUGCAGUAGGGGAGAUUGGAAUUCCUGGUGUAGCGGUGGAAUGCGCAGAUAUCAGGAGGAACACCAAUGGCGAAGGCAGAUCUCUGGGCUGUAACUGACGCUGAGGAGCGAAAGCAUGGGGAGCGAACAGGAUUAGAUACCCUGGUAGUCCAUGCCGUAAACGUUGGGCGCUAGAUGUGGGGACCUUUCCACGGUUUCCGUGUCGUAGCUAACGCAUUAAGCGCCCCGCCUGGGGAGUACGGCCGCAAGGCUAAAACUCAAAGGAAUUGACGGGGGCCCGCACAAGCGGCGGAGCAUGUGGAUUAAUUCGAUGCAACGCGAAGAACCUUACCUGGGCUUGACAUACACCAGAUCGCUGCAGAGAUGUAGUUUCCCUUGUGGUUGGUGUACAGGUGGUGCAUGGUUGUCGUCAGCUCGUGUCGUGAGAUGUUGGGUUAAGUCCCGCAACGAGCGCAACCCUUGUCUUAUGUUGCCAGCAUUUGGUUGGGGACUCAUGAGAGACUGCCGGGGUUAACUCGGAGGAAGGUGGGGAUGACGUCAAAUCAUCAUGCCCCUUAUGUCCAGGGCUUCACACAUGCUACAAUGGUCGGUACAACGCGUCUGCGAGCCUGUGAGGGUGAGCUAAUCGCUGUAAAGCCGGUCGUAGUUCGGAUUGGGGUCUGCAACUCGACCCCAUGAAGUCGGAGUCGCUAGUAAUCGCAGAUCAGCAACGCUGCGGUGAAUACGUUCCCGGGCCUUGUACACACCGCCCGUCACGUCAUGAAAGUUGGUAACACCCGAAGCCAGUGGCUCAAACUCGUUAGGGAGCUGUCGAAGGUGGGAUCGGCGAUUGGGACGAAGUCGUAACAAGGUA
rnacentral:rRNA from 1 species